AUAUUUUAUCAUUCCAAUUAAAAAUAAUAAACAUUUUCUCAAACGUUCGAAUAAUUAAAUCUUGGGUAUCUAAAAUUCAACGGAAAACCAAAAUGAUUUGUACUGAUUUUUGAACAGAGAUUCUACCGAACGGUACAGUUGGUCUAAUUGUUUAGCCAAAUGAACAGAAAUACAUGUGGGAACCCUAUGCUUCUGACAUUAGCAGAGGUAAAUAGGUUGACAAUUGUCUCCUUGUAAAUAAAAGCUGCGUCUUAGAUCAAACAUCAAGACAGAUAUUUCUUUUAAAUGCAUGCCUUUCGCUCGGUCUUUCUCAACCUUGUCAGACAAACUGAUGGUGAAAAAUUGAUCGUUUAAAUUGAAUAACGAAGUCUCUAACAAUAAAAUAUUUUAUGGUGAGUUGAUUUUCAAGAAAUGUAAAAGUUGAUUACAGUACCGUCGCGCACAAUUAGGGAGCCUCACGAUAGUUAAUUUGAACAUUUCUUGAACUAAAUAUAUAGGUAUAUAUUGUUAAAUCGAAA